rnacentral:rRNA from 1 species
GAUGAACGCUGGCGGCGUGCCUAGUACAUGCAAGUCGAGCGAACAGACGAGGAGCUUGCUCCUCUGACGUUAGCGGCGGACGGGUGAGUAACACGUGGAUAACCUACCUAUAAGACUGGGAUAACUUUGGGAAACCGGAGCUAAUACCGGAUAAUAUAUUGAACCGCAUGGUUCAAUAGUGAAAGACGGUUUUGCUGUCACUUAUAGAUGGAUCCGCGCCGCAUUAGCUAGUUGGUAAGGUAACGGCUUACCAAGGCGACGAUGCGUAGCCGACCUGAGAGGGUGAUCGGCCACACUGGAACUGAGACACGGUCCAGACUCCUACGGGAGGCAGCAGUAGGGAAUCUUCCGCAAUGGGCGAAAGCCUGACGGAGCAACGCCGCGUGAGUGAUGAAGGUCUUCGGAUCGUAAAACUCUGUUAUUAGGGAAGAACAAAUGUGUAAGUAACUAUGCACGUCUUGACGGUACCUAAUCAGAAAGCCACGGCUAACUACGUG